CAGCAGAAAGUUCAACGGCUGACAAAGAGGGUCUCUCGGAUGUCGUCCAUCAUACAGAGUCAAAAGGAAGGGAGGACUGUGUCCGCUAACAGCGCUGACGUGCGCCAGGUAGCUGUAGCUCCUAACGAGGAGAUGGCCUUAGACCACAGCUCUGAUGAAAUGAACAUGGAGGACCCUCCCUGACUGCUCAACAGCAUUCACCACCACCACUAACUCUGGGUUGGCCAUUUUAAAAUGAAAACAUGGAAGAGAGGGGAGCGGGUUAAGGUCCGCAAGAAUUUGGAUCGUCGGGCACAGCAUCAUGAGCUUUGGAGAGAGAAGAGGGCAAAGGAGAAACUCUUGAAAA